rnacentral:rRNA from 1 species
GACGAACGCUGGCGGUGUGCCUAAUACAUGCAAGUUGAGCGGCAACGGAUGGUACUUGUACCAACUGGGUGAGCAGCGAACGGGUGGGUAACGCGUGGAGCAUCUGCCUUUGAUCGGGGGACAACAUCUGGAAACGACUGCUACUACUGCAUAAAAACUUUAACCACAAGUUUUAAGUUUGAAAGAUGCAAUUGCCUCACUCAAAGAUGAUCCUGCGUUGUAUUAGCUAGUUGGUGAGGUAAAGGCCCACCAAGGCGAAGAUACAUAGCCUGCCUGGGAGGGUGAUCGGCCACAUUGGGAAUGGGAACACGGCCAAACCCCUACGGGAAGCAGCAGGAGGGAAAUAUUGGCAAUGGGGGGAAGUCUGAACGAGGAAAGCCGGGGGAGUGAAGGAGGGUUUCGGGUCGGAAAACUCGGUUUGUAGGGAAGAAAGAGGGGGAGGGUGGAAAGCUCAUCAAGUGACGGUAACUAAACAGAAAGCAACGGCUAACUACGUG